CUACUAUGGAGAGUUUGAUCCUGGCUCAGGACGAACGCUGGCGGCGUGCCUAAUACAUGCAAGUCGAGCGGAGCACU
rnacentral:rRNA from 1 species